AUUUGUCUUUUGCUGCUCAUCUUCCAGUAUCCUGAUCUGGCUGACUCUCCACUCCUGUCAUGGCUCCCCAUCCAUCCUGGAGCUGAACACCAGAUGGGAGCUGAUGGAUUGUCCUUGGUGGGCCAUGUUCUUAUGUGUGAUGAGAGGGCCAGGAGCAGAUGCACCACGCCUGGCCAGGACCGGGCUAAACAGCCUGUAAUGCUAGACAGUCAGCCAGUGAGGCCAGUUUGCAGAAUGUGGAAGAGCCCUUUGGCGAGGCAUUGGAGGAUUCACCAUGAAGGUGGCAGCAGCGGCAGUGCCUGGGGUCCCUAUGGGCCAAGCCUCAACUCCUGCCAAUCCAGGCUAAUUUCCCCCUGCUUUCAGCAGCGCUUGGCUUUAGCUGCUGGGCCUGUGAGCCUAGCCCAGGGGUCUCAAACUCAAAUGA